rnacentral:hammerhead_ribozyme from 1 species
AUCCAGAUGACGUGUUCGAAAUAGGGUGAAAUAUGUGUCCUGGAU